UGGUUAAUUCGAUGAUACGCGAGGACCUUACCUAGGCUAGAAUGUGAGUGACAGAUGUGAAAGCCGUUUUUCCUACGGGACACGAAACAAGGUGCUGCAUGGUUGUCGUCAGCUCGUGCCGUGAGGUGUUGGGUAAGUCCCGCAACGAGCGCAACCCCUGUUUGUUAGUUACCAUCACGUAAAGGUGGGGACUCCAACGAGACUGCCGGCGUAAGCCGCGAGGAAGGUGGGGAUGACGUCAAAUCAUCAUGGCCUUUAUGCCUAGGGCGACACACGUGCUACAAUGGCCGGUACAGAGGGCAGCGAGACUGUGAAGUUAAGCAAAUCUCAAAAAGCCGGUCUCAGUUCGGAUUGGAGUCUGCAACUCGACUCCAUGAAGGUGGAAUCGCUAGUAAUCGCGCAUCAGCCAUGGCGCGGUGAAUACGUUCCCGGACCUUGUACACACCGCCCGUCAAGCCAUGGAAGCUGGGGGUGCCUAAAGAUGGUGACUUUACGGGGAGCUAUCUAAGGUAAAACUAGUGACUGGGGCUAAGUCGUAACAAGGUAACCGUAA
rnacentral:rRNA from 1 species